rnacentral:rRNA from 1 species
UACGGAGGAUUCAAGCGUUAUCCGGAUUUAUUGGGUUUAAAGGGUGCGUAGGCGGUCGGAUAAGUUAGAGGUGAAAUCCCGGGGCUCAACUUCGGAAUUGCCUCUGAUACUGUUCGGCUAGAGAGUAGUUGCGGUAGGCGGAAUGUAUGGUGUAGCGGUGAAAUGCUUAGAGAUCAUACAGAGCACCGAUUGCGAAGGCAGCUUACCAAGCUACUUCUGACGUUGAGGCACGAAAGCGUGGGGAGCAAACAGG